UCGAGCGGACAGAUGGGAGCUUGCUCCCUGAUGUUAGCGGCGGACGGGUGAGUAACACGUGGGUAACCUGCCUGUAAGACUGGGAUAACUCCGGGAAACCGGGGCUAAUACCGGAUGCUUGAUUGAACCGCAUGGUUCAAUUAUAAAAGGUGGCUUUUAGCUACCACUUACAGAUGGACCCGCGGCGCAUUAGCUAGUUGGUGAGGUAACGGCUCACCAAGGCAACGAUGCGUAGCCGACCUGAGAGGGUGAUCGGCCACACUGGGACUGAGACACGGCCCAGACUCCUACGGGAGGCAGCAGUAGGGAAUCUUCCGCAAUGGACGAAAGUCUGACGGAGCAACGCCGCGUGAGUGAUGAAGGUUUUCGGAUCGUAAAACUCUGUUGUUAGGGAAGAACAAGUACCGUUCGAAUAGGGCGGUACCUUGACGGUACCUAACCAGAAAGCCACGGCUAACUACGUGCCAGCAGCCGCGGUAAUACGUAGGUGGCAAGCGUUGUCCGGAAUUAUUGGGCGUAAAGCGCGCGCAGGCGGUUUCUUAAGUCUGAUGUGAAAGCCCCCGGCUCAACCGGGGAGGGUCAUUGGAAACUGGGGAACUUGAGUGCAGAAGAGGAGAGUGGAAUUCCACGUGUAGCGGUGAAAUGCGUAGAGAUGUGGAGGAACACCAGUGGCGAAGGCGACUCUCUGGUCUGUAACUGACGCUGAGGCGCGAAAGCGUGGGGAGCGAACAGGAUUAGAUACCCUGGUAGUCCACGCCGU
rnacentral:rRNA from 1 species